GCAGUGGCGAUCAGGCGAUAUCGUAACCAAUGAGGUACAACCGAGGUGCGAUUAUUGCUAGUUGAAAACUAUUAAACACCAGAUUCAAUAACAUUGUUUAAAGUGUUACAAACUAGUGUAUUCUAAAAAUAUCUAAGUAG